UACGAGAGGCCCAAACGUUAUUCGGAAUUACUGGGCGUAAAGAGCGCGCAGGCGGUCGUGCAAGUCGCGUGUGAAAGCCCCCGGCUCAACUGGGGAGGGUCACGCGAUACUGCUCGACUCGAAGGCAGGAGAGGGAAGUGGAAUUCCCGGUGUAGUGGUGAAAUGCGUAGAUAUCGGGAGGAACACCAGUGGCGAAGGCGACUUCCUGGCCUGUUCUUGACGCUGAGGCGCGAAAGCUAGGGUAGCAAACGGG
rnacentral:rRNA from 1 species